CCUGGAGUCCCGGAAUCGAGUCCCGCAUCGGACUCCCUGCAUGGAGCCUGCUUCUCCCUCUGCCUAUGUCUCUGCCUCUCUCUCUCUCUAUCUCUCAUGAGUAAAUAAAUAAAAUCUUUUUUUUUUAAGUCUGUAUUAAAGUAUUAUUUAUGCUGAUUGUUGAAUUUUUGGUUGUCCCUAAAUUUUGUUCUUGAGGGAGGGCCUUCUAAUUCUAACCCUGCCUCAGAAGCUUCCAAGAAGCUUGUACAUGACCUCCCUCUAAAGAGGAGUGAAUGACUCCCCUCCAGAAGUAUGUGGAAGGAGUUGGAACACCCAGUCACCGUGUCCCUCUUCUCACUACAAACAGCUGGACCGAGUGCAGAAUAGAAAUGCAGGGCUCUCGUUCAAAAAUGAAGAAUUUUAGGAUGCCUGGGUGGUUCAGCAGUUGAGUGUCUGCCUUCAGCUCAGGGCGUGAUCCCAGUCCAGGGAUCGAGGCCCACAUCGGACUUCCUACAAGGGGCCUGCUUCUCCCUCUGCCUGUGUCUGUGCCUCUCUCUCUCAUGAAUAAAUAAAAUCUUUAAAAAAAGAGUUUCAAGAUGGCAGCAGCAGGGAGUUACACCAAGUGUUGGGUUCUUUUGAGCCUGGGGCCCUUGAGGCUGGCUCUGCUCUCAGCAUUGGCAAAGGCAGUCUCAUGUGGCCACUCGGACCUCUUGUCUUGCAGUUGCAAUUGCCUUUCUUUCUUUUUUAAAAAAAAUUUUUUUUUUUGCAAUUGCCUUUCUUCUCCAUCAGCCCCCCCAUGUCUACAGCUCAGCACUGCAGAUGCAGCACCUGUCUCAGCAGACCUCCGCACGCCCCUCUAAGGCAUCCAGCGCAAAGCUCUUCUGCACAAAGCAAGGUGCUGAGCAGACAAUCACAUCUGAAAAACCUCUUUCCGGCACAGCGCAUUUGGAAGUGGCUAGAAUUGUCAGAGACUCGCGGGGCUCCCAAAUUCUGUUGGUGUUCUCCACCGCUGGCACUCAGGAGAGCCAGCUCUGAAGGCCCUCCUGCCUGCAGGCCUGCCACAGAGGAGUCCCUCCCGUCAAAGCGCCUGGGAAACUCGACAGCAACGUCGGAGAUGAGGUGCCUGAGGUUUAUCAAGUUUUCAAGAUUACACCUCCAUAAAGCCCUUUACAAGGCCGCUCAGCACCAGGCCGCGCAGCCUCCCGGCGCAUCACCGCCACCUCUGGCGGGCGCCACCACCGGGGAGGUUCGGGGAGCCGGGCAGCCCCACCACCCACCCACCCACCCCCCCAUCAGACCCACCGUGUCCCUGUCAGGAGGAGGGGCCUGAGGCCCCGCGCUGCUUCCCUUAUAAUCAAAUUUUCACUGCGCUCUCUGACAGGUUUUUAAGUCACUUAAGGGAUCUAUUUAUAUGUGUAAGCAUCAGCAUCGUGCAGUAAAUCCAACCACAAGCCAGUCCCGUGUUUUAUUAAGUUUAAGUUCAGUGAGAGUGCAAAGCGAACGAGGGUCCCGUGUCUCUCCGUUACAUCUGAUUUGCGGUUCCCAUAAAAAGGCCCACAUGCCGCUGUCUCAGAUGUGUUUUGGAUUGAAAAUAGGAUUAAUGUGCUAAAGUGUGAUUAGAAUGGUUAAACGCGAUUAAUUGGAACAGACUGCUGCUGCCAAGGGAGCUCCUCCGAGGCUGGCCCGGCUCCAGGUUACCAAGUGAACAAAGCCGGCCAACUGUCCAAGUGGCUCGGGGCCCCCUCCCGCGCCCGGCCCGCGCCUUUCCCCCUCGCCAGCCUGUCUCAGGCCAGAUUAAAUGCAGCUGAGAAUGCCGGGCUCGCGCGCCGCCGGCCGUCCUCCGGGAAUAGGCAGGAACCCCGGCCCGGCCCGGCCGCCUCGGUGCCGGCCCGAGGGCCGCCGAGCACCAACCGGGGGCAGCGGGCCAGGUGGCUGGGCCGGGCUGGGGGGCGGGGGCAGCAAUUUGGGAUUCCUGUGUGUUUUUUUAAAAAUGAUCUAGUAAACCCCUGCACUUUAAUCAAGCAGCUACCACACUGACGGCUCUGGUUCACUCCUGGAGCCCAGGCGGCGGCCUGCAGCCCUAGCAGGCCUCCUGCGGGCCAUCCCCACCUCAGGCCUGGGCACCCUCGCCUGGCCUCCCCCCUCACCCCCUCUGGGGGUCUAGAUGGGGCAGAGGGCUUCAUCCUUGGCCGCCAGGCCGGACCCAACCUUCCUCCCACCUCUGCCUCAAACACGCACUGAGACUUGAAGGCUGAGGUGGCCAAGCUUCCCGCCAUCCCGCACCCCAAGGCUGCCUGCGGGUCCCCCUUGGACGGGCUCUCUUGACCACUAAUUGUUUCUCCACGUUAAAGUCAAGGGCCCCCCCCCCAAGUGUGAUCUCCAAGGUGAUGGCUGCCCCCCAGGUCAAGGGGCGGACCGGCAGAGGUAGAGGCCGGCCAACGUGACUUUCCUCUAGAUUCCACUCGGGACAAAAGUUUUAUAAAAGGAGGUAUUUUUCUCCUACCAGGUAGCUUGAAAGAGAUUUCUUUUUUUAAUAGUGAGGCGGAAAACUUAUUAUAGGCUCUCAAAUUUAAAAGCAUAUUGCCCCUUUAAAAGGGUCAGCUGGGGAUCCCUGGGUGGCGCAGCGGUUUGGCGCCUGCCUUUGGCCCAGGGCGCGAUCCUGGAGUCCCGGGAUCUAAUCCCAUGUCGGGCUCCCGGUGCAUGGAGCCUGCUUCUCCCUCUGCCUGUGUCUCUGCCUCUCUCUCUAUCUCUCUGUGACUAUCAUAAAUAAAUAAAAAUUAAAAAAAAAAAAAAAAAAGAAG
rnacentral:lncRNA from 1 species